UACGUAGGUCCCGAGCGUUGUCCGGAUUUAUUGGGCGUAAAGCGAGCGCAGGUGGUUUAAUAAGUCUGAUGUAAAAGGCAGUGGCUCAACCAUUGUGUGCAUUGGAAACUGGUAGACUUGAGUGCAGGAGAGGAGAGUGGAAUUCCAUGUGUAGCGGUGAAAUGCGUAGAUAUAUGGAGGAACACCGGUGGCGAAAGCGGCUCUCUGGCCUGUAACUGACACUGAGGCUCGAAAGCGUGGGUAGCAAACAGG
rnacentral:rRNA from 1 species